rnacentral:rRNA from 1 species
GACGAAGAUGGCUAGCGUUAUUCGGAUUCACUAGGCAUAAAGCGCGCGUAGGCAGCUCUUCAAGUCGGAGGUGAAAGCCUGCAGCUCAACUGCGGAACGGCCUUCGAUACUGUCGAGCUUGAGUGCAGGAAAAAUGAUCGGAACUCCAGGUGUAGCGGUGAAAUGCGUAGAUAUCUGGAAGAACACCGGAGGCGAAGGCGAAUCACUGGACUGUCACUGACGCUGAGGCGCGAAAGCUAGAAAAGCAAACAGG